rnacentral:rRNA from 1 species
UACGUAGGGUGCAAGCGUUGUCCGGAAUUAUUGGGCGUAAAGAGCUCGUAGGCGGCUUGUCGCGUCGGCUGUGAAAACCUGGGGCUCAACCCCGGGCCUGCAGCCGAUACGGGCAAGCUAGAAUCGGUAGGGGAGACUGGAAUUCCUGGUGUAGCGGUGAAAUGCGCAGAUAUUAGGAAGAACACCGUGGCGAAGGCGGCCACUGCCGGUACUGGACGCUGAGUGCGAAGCGUGGGAGGCAACAGG